GUGAUGAAGAUGAAGAUGAUGAUGAUGAUGAAGAUGAAGGUGAUGAAGAUGAUGAUGUCAUAAAUGUCUUCCAGUCCACUGUUAGCCUGUUAGCCUGUUAGCUCGCUGCUCUUUUCUGGAACAUUUGAAUCAAACUUUAUUGAGUAGCUGAUUAGCUGAGUAGCUGACGAAGCUUUAUUGAAACCAGCAGCGCGACACUGUGACAGCAAUAAAACCUCUGAUCAAUGCUUUAUGACAAUCGGAAGCUCUGACCAAUAGGAAGGCAGAGCUGACCAGCUGUGGGCGGGUCAGUCUUCGUCACUGCCACAUAUCGACUUUAAUCAGGGAUCAAAGACAAUCAGCUGCUUGUUAGCCGCUAAGUCCAGACUGUUUCUAAUUAACUAUGCUAGGCUAGGUGUUAGCAUGUUAGCCGAGCUGGUUCACUCUAAUCUAAAGCUAGUUAUUAGUUAGCUGAGCUGGUUCACUCUAAUCUAAAGCUAGUUAUUAGUUAGCCGAGCUGGUUCACUCUAAUCUAAAGCUAGUUAUUAGUUAGCCGAGCUGGUUCACUCUAAUCUAAAGCUAGUUAUUAGUUAGCUGAGCUGUUGCACUGGAACAAUAAAUUGUGGGUAGAUUUAGUUAGCAUAGCGUAGCAUCAGUGGAAGCCCGUCUCUCCUGUUCCAUUGGCUGCUGGCCGGCAGGGGGCAGGGCUACACAGGUUAAAGGGUGAUGAUGUCACUCAUUCUUAAUGUGAAGGUUUGUGUUUGUGUUUUUGCUCAGGUCAGAGGUCACUGUAAACCCCGCCCACACACAUCAGUAACCAUGACAACCCCGCUCUCUGCCGCACGUUGAUCCAGAGAUUGGCUGUUACACCUGUGUUACCAUGGUGACUGAAUAUGUGGCCAUGAGCAGAUGAUGAUUGAUGUAUUUUAUAGUACUGAGGCUGUUCCACGCCAAUCAGAGCGCCCAUAUAUGGUAAUGGGGGUGGAGGCUGGCGUGUCACACUGUAGGAAGCAUUUGUUGUGUUGUCAUGGAUUAUCAUUGUAUUUCAAAAUAAAAGCUCAACAGGUGUGCUGUA